rnacentral:rRNA from 1 species
UAGGGAAUCUUCCGCAAUGGACGAAAGUCUGACGGAGCAACGCCGCGUGAGUGAAGAAGGAUUUCGGUUCGUAAAACUCUGUUGUUAGGGAAGAAAAAAUGUAUAGUAACUAUAUACAAAAGACACGGUACCUAACCAGAAAGCCACGGCUAACUACGUGCCAGCAGCCGCGGUAAUACGUAGGUGGCAAGCGUUGUCCGGAAUUAUUGGGCGUAAAGCGCGCGCAGGUGGUUUAGAAAGUCUGAUGUGAAAUCCCACGGCUCAAACCGUGGAGGGUCAUUGGAAACUAAUAAACUUGAGUGCAGGAGAGAAAAGUGGAAUUCCUAGUGUAGCGGUGAAAUGCGUAGAGAUUAGGAGGAACACCGGUGGCGAAAGCGGCUUUUUGGCCUGCAACUGACACUGAGGCGCGAAAGCGUGUGGAGCAAACAGG